AAAAAGCCUGAGAGGCUGCACGGCUGCAGGCGUCUCACAGCAGCUCUCCAAAGCCAAGCUCACUGGACGUGACCACCAGGACAAGCCCACGUGACCACGGCGGCCAUUGCCACGUCUUCCAUUCAAGAGGGACCCUGGUUCAGCUUUGCACCGAUUUGCUCAAACAUGACUUGGUAAAGGAUUCCUAGUGGCACAUGCGGGUGCCUGGAUGCACAUGGAGGAUGAGGGCUAUUGGCUCCUGGAGGUUUAAAUGAAGUAGAAAGCAGCAAAUACUUCAUUUCUGUCGCUCAGACUGGCCGAGGCGACUGAAUACGCAAUGGCUCGGGUCAUGCAAUCGCGCACCGCAGCAGUCCAUCCACAGAAAGAUUACAGUCCCAUAAGAGUCCACAAACCGCUGGAUGGGCUGCUCCAAGGCCCCAGAGGAUGGG